GACGAACGCUGGCGGCGUGCUUAACACAUCCAAGCCGAACGGAAAGGCCCUGCUUUUGUGGGGUGCUCGAGUGGCGAACGGGUGAGUAACACGUGAGUAACCUGCCCUUGACUUUGGGAUAACUUCAGGAAACUGGGGCUAAUACCGGAUAGGAGCUCCUGCUGCAUGGUGGGGGUUGGAAAGUUUCGGCGGUCGGGGAUGGACUCGCGGCUUAUCAGCUUGUUGGUGGGGUAGUGGCUUACCAAGGCUUUGACGGGUAGCCGGCCUGAGAGGGUGACCGGCCACAUUGGGACUGAGAUACGGCCCAGACUCCUACGGGAGGCAGCAGUGGGGAAUAUUGCACAAUGGGCGGAAGCCUGAUGCAGCAACGCCGCGUGCGGGAUGACGGCCUUCGGGUUGUAAACCGCUUUCGCCUGUGACGAAGCGUGAGUGACGGUAAUGGGUAAAGAAGCACCGGCUAACUACGUG
rnacentral:rRNA from 1 species